rnacentral:tRNA from 1 species
GACUUAAAAUCCGUCGAACUUUAGAAAUCG